GCCAAACAACUAGCUUAAUCACCAACAUAACUCUACACCAUAAAUAAUAUAGAUUUAACCCCAAAUCAAUUAAUUAAACCAUUCUUCACCCUAGUCUGGGAGACAAAAAAGGCCCUAUUAAAGCAAUAGAAAAAGUACCGCAAGGGAAAGUUGAAAGAGAAAUGAAAUAAACCAUAUAAGCCACAAAAAUCAAAGACUAAAUCUUGUACCUUUUGCAUCAUGAUUUAGCAAGUCCACUCAAGCAAAGAGACCUUUAGUUUGAAACCCCGAAACCAAGUGAGCUACCCCGAGACAGCCUAUAAUAGGGCUAACCCGUCUCUGUGGCAAAAGAGUGGGAAGAACUCCGGGUAGAAGUGACAGACCUAUCGAACUUGGUAAUAGCUGGUUGCCUAAAAAAUGAAUAUAAGUUCAGCCUCGCCCACCCCAAAUCAUAAACAUAUUAAUACGAUUUAUAGGAAAAACACGAGAGUUAGUUUAAGGAGGUACAGCCCCUUAAACAAAGGAUACAACCUUAACAGGAGAAUAAAGAUUAUAAUAGAUAAAACACAAUGUCCCGGUGGGCCUAAAAGCAGCCAUCCGAACAGAAAGCGUUAAAGCUCGGACAAACAAAAGUUUAUUAUACCAAUAAAUGAUCUAAUUUCCCUAGAAAUAUUAGGCUAUUCCAUACAUAUAUGGAAGAAAUUAUGCUAAAAUGAGUAACAAGAAGAACCCAACCUUCUCCAAGCACAAGUGUAAGUCAGAUCGGACCAACCACUGAUAAUUAACGAACCCAAACAAAGAGGGUAUUAUGAACAACAUAAUAAUCAAGAAAACCACAUUAACAAAAAUCGUUAACCCUACACCGGAGUGCAUUAAAGGAAAGACUAAAAGAGAAAGGAAGGAACUCGGCAAACCCAAGCCUCGCCUGUUUACCAAAAACAUCGCCUCUUGCAACAUCCACGUAUAAGAGGUCCAACCUGCCCAGUGACUACAAGUUCAACGGCCGCGGUAUUUUAACCGUGCAAAGGUAGCGCAAUCACUAGUCCCUUAAAUAAGGACCUGUAUGAAUGGUUAGACGAGGGCUUAACUGUCUCCCUUCUCCAGUCAGUGAAAUUGAUCUAUCCGUGCAGAAGCGGGUAUAAUUCUACAAGACGAGAAGACCCUUUGGAGCUUAAGGUACAAGACUCACACAUGUUAAACAAACUCUAUAAAGUUUUAAAACCUAAUGAAAGAUGAAACUCUACCUUCGGUUGGGGCGACCACGGAGAAAAAAAUAACCUCCAAGUGGACUGAAUAAUAUUCAAAACCAAGAUUUACACCUCUAAGUAGCAGAAUAUCUGACCAAAAAUGACCCGGCCACAAAACCGAUCAACGAACCAAGUUACCCAAGGGAUAACAGCGCAAUCCUCUUCCAGAGUCCAUAUCGACGAGAGGGUUUACGACCUCGAUGUUGGAUCAGGACAUCCUAAUGGUGCAGCCGCUAUUAAGGGUUCGUUUGUUCAACGAUUAAAGUCCUACGUGAUCUGAGUUCAGACCGGAGUAAUCCAGGUCAGUUUCUAUCUGUAAUGCUAUUUUUCCUAGUACGAAAGGAUUGGAAAAGGGGGGCCUACCCUACAAAUGCGCCCCACCUCAAAUCAAUGAAUUUAAAUAAAUUAAAUAAAAGGAGAGCAUAAAC
rnacentral:rRNA from 1 species